rnacentral:rRNA from 1 species
GACGAACGCUGGCGGCGCGCUUAACACAUGCAAGUCGAGCGAUGAAACUUUAACAGAACCCUUCGGGGCGAAGAUAAAGUGGAUUAGCGGCGGACGGGUGAGUAACACGUGAGUAACCUGCCUUAGACAUUGGGAUAGCCUCGGGAAACCGGGAUUAAUACCAAAUAAAAUCAUAAUGACACAUGUCAUAACGAUCAAAACUCCGGUGGUCUAAGAUGGACUCGCGUCCCAUUAGCUAGUUGGUAGAGUAAAAGCCUACCAAGGCGACGAUGGGUAGCCGGCCUGAGAGGGUGAACGGCCACAUUGGAACUGAGAAACGGUCCAA